rnacentral:rRNA from 1 species
UACGUAGCAGCGAGCGUUGUUCGGAAUUACUGGGCGUAAAGAGUGUGUAGGCGGUGCUCUAAGUUCGGUGUGAAAUCUCCUGGCUCAACUGGGAGGGUGCGCCGGAAACUGGAGUGCUUGAGCGUGGGAGAGGAAAGCGGAAUUCCUGGUGUAGCGGUGAAAUGCGUAGAUAUCAGGAGGAACACCUGUGGUGUAGACGGCUUUCUGGACCAUAGCUGAC